AGAGUUUGAUCAUGGCUCAGGAUUAACGCUAGCGGCAGGCCUAAUACAUGCAAGUCGAACGGUAACAUGAGUAGCAAUACUUGAUGACGAGUGGCGCACGGGUGCGUAACGCGUAUGCAAUCUACCUGUAACUGGGGAAUAGCCUUCCGAAAGGAAGAUUAAUACCGCAUAAUAUCACGAUUCGGCAUCGUUUUGUGAUCAAAACUCCGGUGGUUACAGAUGAGCAUGCGUGACAUUAGCUAGUUGGUGAGGUAACGGCUCACCAAGGCGACGAUGUCUAGGGGGUCUGAGAGGAUGAUCCCCCACACUGGUACUGAGACACGGACCAGACUCCUACGGGAGGCAGCAGUAAGGAAUAUUGGACAAUGGCCGCAAGGCUGAUCCAGCCAUGCCGCGUGCAGGAUGAAGGUGCUCUGCAUUGUAAACUGCUUUUGUUCGGGAAUAAACCCUUUCACGUGUGAGAGGUUGAAUGUACCGAAAGAAUAAGGGACGGCUAACUUCGUGCCAGCAGCCGCGGUAAUACGAAGGUCCCAAGCGUUAUCCGGAUUUAUUGGGUUUAAAGGGUGCGUAGGCGGAUUAUUAAGUCAGUGGUGAAAGCUCCCAGCUUAACUGGGAAACUGCCAUUGAUACUGAUGAUCUUGAGUAUGAUUGAAGUGGGCGGAAUGUGUCAUGUAGCGGUGAAAUGCUUAGAUAUGACACAGAACACCGAUUGCGAAGGCAGCUCACUAAGCCAUAACUGACGCUGAUGCACGAAAGCGUGGGGAGCAAACAGGAUUAGAUACCCUAGUAGUCC
rnacentral:rRNA from 1 species